rnacentral:rRNA from 1 species
UACGUAGGGUGCGAGCGUUGUCCGGAAUUAUUGGGCGUAAAGAGCUCGUAGGCGGUGUGUCGCGUCGGCCGUGAAAACCUGGGGCUCAACUCUGGGCGUGCGGUCGAUACGGGCAUCACUUGAGUUCGGCAGGGGAGACUGGAAUUCCUGGUGUAGCGGUGAAAUGCGCAGAUAUCAGGAGGAACACCGGUGGCGAAGGCGGGUCUCUGGGCCAUUACUGACACUGAGAAGCGAAAGCAUGGGGGAGCGAAACAGG